ensembl:lncRNA
CACCACCUGGGAGGAGCAUGGGCGGGGUCACCGGCAACCCAGGGAAGUGUGCAGUUGGACGGGUGGAGGUACGGUAUUUGGUGUACCACUUGGGGGGCGGGCAGGUGCGCCCUCAGGUGGACAAGACGGCAGCUAUCGCGGCCUGCCCGCGGCCCAAGACAAAAAAUGAGGUGAGGCGGUUCUUGGGGCUGGCGGGGUAUUACACGCGGUUCAUCCCCGACUUCGCGGACCUCACAAGCCCCUUGACUGACCUGACCCGGAAAGGUGCGUCAGAUCCGGUCCAGUGGUCGGAGCAGUGCCAGCAGGCGUUUGAGAAGGAGAUCGGAGCAAGGCAAUAAUCCAUACGGCACAUGUGAGACCAGCCAUCGGUGAAAUGUUAUCCAAGACCUCUGAGCAGCAACUCGACACAUGACUUGUACGAGCCGUCAACUCUGUCUACUGGCUUUAUAGAUUUAUUAUUAUGUAAUGACUGUCCUGUUUAACAACUUUACACCGGUGUCCAGUAAUAUUAUUGUUCUUACACAACUGUAUCCAGUUAAUGGAGAAGGAUGGAACCAACCCUGGAAAUACU